rnacentral:rRNA from 1 species
GACGAACGCUGGCGGCGUGCCUAAUACAUGCAAGUCGAACGCUGAAGCUUGGUGCUUGCACCGAGCGGAUGAGUUGCGAACGGGUGAGUAACGCGUAGGUAACCUGCCUGGUAGCGGGGGAUAACUAUUGGAAACGAUAGCUAAUACCGCAUAAGAGUAGAUGUUGCAUGACAUUUGCUUAAAAGGUGCAAUUGCAUCACUACCAGCUGGACCUGCGUUGUAUUAGCUAGUUGGUGAGGUAACGGCUCACCAAGGCAACGAUACAUAGCCGACCUGAGAGGGUGGUCGGCCACACUGGGACUGAGACACGGCCCAGACUCCUACGGGAGGCAGCAGUAGGGAAUCUUCGGCAAUGGACGGAAGUCUGACCGAGCAACGCCGCGUGAGUGAAGAAGGUUUUCGGAUCGUAAAGCUCUGUUGUAAGAGAAGAACGAGUGUGAGAGUGGAAAGUUCACACUGUGACGGUAUCUUACCAGAAAGGGACGGCUAACUACGUG